rnacentral:misc_RNA from 1 species
GAUGAAGAACGUAGCGAAAUGCGAUAAGUAGUGUGAAUUGCAGAAUUCAGUGAAUCAUCGAAUCUUUGAACGCACAUUGCGCCCUUUGGUAUUCCUUAGGGCAUGCCUGUUCGAGCGUCAUUUAAACCUUCAAGCUAAGCUUGGUGUUGGGUGACUGUCCGCCUCACGGCGGACUCGCCUCAAAAUUAUUGGCGGCCGGUACAUUGGCUUCGAGCGCAGCAGAAACGCGAACUCGGGCCCGUCGUAUUGGCUCCCAGAAGCUAUCUUCACAAUUUUGACCUCGGAUCAGGUAGGGAUACCCGCUGAACUUAAGCAUAUCAAUAAGCGGAGGA